rnacentral:rRNA from 1 species
GAUGAACGCUGGCGGCGUGCUCAACACUUGCAAGUCGAACGGAACGGCCCAAGCUUGGUUGGGUACUCGAGUGGCGAACGGGUGCGUAACACGUGGGUGAUCUGCCCUGCACUUCGGGAUAACUCUGGGAAACUGGGUCUAAUAUCGGAUAGGACCACGGCUUGGAUGCUACUGUGGCUAGUCUUUCCGGUGUGGGAUGAGCUCGCGGCCUCUCAGCUUGUUGGUGGGGUAAUGGCCUACCAAGGCGUUUACGGGUAGCCGGCCUGAGAGAGUGUACGGCCACAUUGGGACUGAGAUACGGCCCAGACUCCUACGCGAGGCAGCAGUGGGGAAGAUUGCACAAUGGGCGCAAGCCUGAUGCAGCGACGCCGCGUGGGCGAUGACGGCCUUCGGGUUGUAAACUCCUCUCGCUACGGACGAAGCGUUUUUGUGACGGUACCUGGAGAAGAAGCACCGGCUAACUACGUG